rnacentral:rRNA from 1 species
UCGCCCUUAGAGUUUGAUCCUGGCUCAGGACGAACGCUGGCGGCAUGCUUAACACAUGCAAGUCAAGGGGUAGCAAUACCACUGGCGCACGGGUGAGUAACACGUAGGUUAUCUGCCCCCAUCACAGACAUAACUCCGGGAAACCGGUGCUAAUAUCUGAUGAGGUCGCGAGAUCAAAGUCUUCGGACGGAUGGGGAUGAGCCUGCGGCUGAUUAGCUAGUUGGUGAGGUAAUGGCUCACCAAGGCGACGAUCAGUAGCUGGUCUGAGAGGACGAACAGCCACACUGGAACUGAGACACGGUCCAGACUCCUACGGGAGGCAGCAGUGAGGAAUAUUGGUCAAUGGGAGCAAUCCUGAACCAGCAAUGCCGCGUGUGGGAUGACAGGGCUCAGCCUUGUAAACCACUGUCGGACGGGACGAAAGGGACCCUCGGGGUCCUGGGACGGUACCGUCAAAGGAAGGGUCGGCUAACUACGUGCCAGCAGCCGCGGUAAUACGUAGGACCCGAGCGUUGUCCGGAUUCACUGGGUAUAAAGGGUGCGUAGGCGGCCUUGUGCGUCAGAGGUGAAAUAUCCGGGCUUAACCCGGAGGGUGCCUUUGAUACGGCAGGGCUUGAGUGCGGGAGAGGAUGAUGGAAUUCCUGGUGUAGCGGUGAAAUGCGUAGAUAUCAGGAGGAACACCGGUGGCGAAGGCGGUCAUCUGGUCCGCGACUGACGCUGAGGCACGAAAGCGCGGGGAUCAAACAGGAUUAGAUACCCUGGUAGUCCGCGCCCUAAACGAUGCAUGCUUGGUGUUGGGC